ensembl:snoRNA SNORD10 small nucleolar RNA, C/D box 10
GCUCUGUGAUGAACCCCAUGCGUGUCAUCUGAGCCAUGGAUUCCCUUGUCACCUCAGCCCAGGGAGUGUUCUACUUCCCAGGCUGUUGUCUGCCCUGUCGGGGAGUCCUGGCAAAGGAUCAAACAUCAUACCCUGAGAGC